rnacentral:rRNA from 1 species
UACGUAGGGGGCAAGCGUUACUCGGAUUUACUGGGCGUAAAGCGAAUUAAGGCGGUCUUGUAAGUCAGGGGUGAAAUCCCUCAGCCUAACUGAGGAACUGCCCUUGAUACUGCUUGACUAGAGGACAGGAGAGGAAAGUGGAAUUCCCGGUGUAGCGGUGGAAUGCGUAGAUAUCGGGAGGAACACCAGAGGCGAAGGCGGCUUUCUGGACUGGUCCUGACGCUGAUAUUCGAAAGCUAGGGGAG